rnacentral:misc_RNA from 1 species
AGACUCCAGAGCUGAAAAUUCACCUUGUAGCAAAUGAUUUAUCAUUGGCUUGAUCUGGAGAAUCCAUGGCACUUUCUGCAUGAAAAUGAAUCCCAAAAUUCCCAAUAUUCAUCUAUUACUAUUAAUUCUUUUCUCUAUCUACUUGACCAAGGACCAUGCCAUGCAUAUGCUGGAAGUUAUUUUGUUGGUUCUGUUACUUGUAAUUAAUGAUGCAAGAAGUGUAUCACUUUGUGUUGUUUUUAUCAGAAAUGUUGCACUUUUCCAAGUCUUGCAUCGUUUCUUGGUAGGUUGAUAGAAUAUUAUAAAAAUAUGCAACUGGAAUACAUGGUCCAGUAAUCCUCAAAUGUUUAGUAUUUGCUUUGUUUUGGAUUGUCUUUAUCAAUGCCUAUUUAUUGUUGGUAAUAAAUUGCAUAUCAUUGGUAUUUCUUUGCAGAACUUGAAGUCAAACCUGA